GUACACAUUAUUAUUUAAUAAAAAUGUUUACUUAUAAUCAAUUAUUAAAAAAACAAAAAGAUGUUUCGGUAAUAAAAAAAUUGUUACAAAUUUAACAAUUAUUGAUAAGACAAACUUUAUAAUUUAAUAUGAAUAAACCAAUUAUUUAUAUUCAAAAUUUUAGAAACAAUUUAAACAUAUAAGAAAUCGAACUACUCGAACAGAUCUCGAACUUAUCGAAUUGAACUGAACUCGAACUGUUCGCGAAUAAAGACGAACCGAAUCACAUGGUUUGCUUCGAUCGAGAAAUUGAACGUAACACUAUGUCCGAACUCAACUCGACUAGGCGAACAACUCGAACUCGAACUCGAACCGAACCGGUUUGCGAAUUGUUUUGUUCGUUUGCAACCCUAUUCCUACCUAGAGAGUCGAAAUGAGCUAAUUUUUAGACGACAAUACAAUGAUACUAUAUAUUUUCAGAUCCAGGAAGCCAAAAAUUUUAAACCAAGUUAACUGAACUGGCCGAAACAAGCCUCGAAAAUUUUAGGGUUGGGGUUAUUCAUAGUUUUUGGCAGAAAACUGUUUCGGUAGAAAAUUCGCCACGGAAAGCUCAUUCAAUAUUUUUUAGCAAAUCCAGUGGGGUUCUUUAGAAAACUUAUAGAUCUAUCCAACAAAGUUGACGAAUCUCAAAAACGAGUUACGGUUUAAAAACGGUUGAUGUCCAAAGUGUACUGAAAUUUCUAGGGUUCUUGAACUAAAUCUCAUAAAAACAUUUCUUAUUUUUCUUUACCUUCCAAACACAUCAACACACAUAUUGAACACAUC
rnacentral:lncRNA from 1 species